rnacentral:rRNA from 1 species
UGCUGGAGGUAUCAGAAGUGCGAAUGCUGACAUAAGUAACGAUAAAGCGGGUGAAAAGCCCGCUCGCCGGAAGACCAAGGGUUCCUGUCCAACGUUAAUCGGGGCAGGGUGAGUCGACCCCUAAGGCGAGGCCGAAAGGCGUAGUCGAUGGGAAACGGGUUAAUAUUCCCGUACUUGGUGUUACUGCGAAGGGGGGACGGAGAAGGCUAUGUUGGCCGGGCGACGGUUGUCCCGGUUUAAGCGUGUAGGUGUGUGUUCCAGGUAAAUCCGGUUCACUUUAACACUGAGGCGUGAUGACGAGGCACUACGGUGCUGAAGCAACAAAUGCCCUGCUUCCAGGAAAAGCCUCUAAGCAUCAGGUAACAUCAAAUCGUACCCCAAACCGACACAGGUGGUCAGGUAGAGAAUACCAAGGCGCUUGAGAGAACUCGGGUGAAGGAACUAGGCAAAAUGGUGCCGUAACUUCGGGAGAAGGCACGCUGACAUGUAGGUGAAGUGAUUUACUCAYGGAGCUGAAGUCAGUCGAAGAUACCAGCUGGCUGCAACUGUUUAUUAAAAACACAGCACUGUGCAAACACGAAAGUGGACGUAUACGGUGUGACGCCUGCCCGGUGCC